rnacentral:rRNA from 1 species
UACUUUCAGCAGUGAGGAAGGUGGAGUCGUUAAUAGCGGCCUCAUUUGACGUUAGCUGCAGAAGAAGCACCGGCUAACUCCGUGCCAGCAGCCGCGGUAAUACGGAGGGUGCGAGCGUUAAUCGGAAUUACUGGGCGUAAAGCGCAUGCAGGUGGUUUGUUAAGUUCAGAUGUGAAAGACCCGGGGCGUCAACCUCCGGAAAUUGCAUUUGUAAACUAGGCAGACUAGAGUACUGUAGAGGGGGGUAGGAAUUUCAGGUGUAGCGGUGAAAUGCGUAGAGAUCUGAAGGAAUACCGGUGGCGAAGGCGGCCCCCUCGGACAGAUACUGACACUCAGAUGCGAAAGCGUGGGGAGCAAACAGGAUUAGAUACCCUGGUAG